UACGUAGGGUGCAAGCGUUAAUCGGAAUUACUGGGCGUAAAGCGUGCGCAGGCGGCUUUGCAAGACAGAUGUGAAAUCCCCGGGCUUAACCUGGGAACUGCAUUUGUGACUGCAAGGCUAGAGUACGGUAGAGGGGGAUGGAAUUCCGCGUGUAGCAGUGAAAUGCGUAGAUAUGCGGAGGAACACCGGUGGCGAAGGCGGCAUCCUGGACCGGUAUUGACGCUGAGGCGCGAAAGCCAGGGGAGCAAACGGG
rnacentral:rRNA from 1 species